UAGUGUGGACUACCUGACAGAUGUUU
rnacentral:piRNA from 1 species